UCACAGUCACAGAUCAAGAGAGUUAGUGUGAACAGAUGAGGGACACCACUUAUAAAGAUUUCACCUUUCCCUUUUCAUCACAUUUCCUGACCAUAUGAGUCUUUGAGAUCUCGUAAACUUCGUGUAAUAUAAUUUUCCUUUGUGUUGAUGCCCAGAGGACCAGUAAACAACCAGCAAAGCCUUGCUGAAAAUGGAUAUGAACUUCACAACACUGUGAACAUCAGGAGACAAAGAGGGCCUCUUGAAAUGAACUCUUCUGGCAACAGAACUGUAAUCAAGCCUGGUGUUCAAACUGCUCAAGAUGGCGUCUCCAGGCACAGCCUGCCACCUCCCUCGGAGCCAACAACAACAGAGUGCAGGACAAGGAAGACUCUCUUAAUCCCACUGGCGAAAGCACUCCAACCAGAGGUUCUCAGCUCAAUGGACAUACAGUACUACCCAGGAGGUCUACAGAGGCAGGAGAUGACGUCAACCAAGGCCUUCCAGAGACAGAGAGCUCUGUUAAAGCCUGGUCACUGAGCAAUAUUCAAAAGCAAGCUAAGAGAACGUAUCAGGGUAUAAGGAAAUGGGUGGUGAUGCUGUUCCUGUACUUGGCAGGACCCGUCCCGACGAGGCAGAGAUGGAACAGCACAUCAGACAGCAUUAUGGGGCUGUUGGCUGUAGUGGUGGGCCUGGGAAACUUUUGGCAAUUCCCAUACUACUGCUACAAACAUAAAGGAGUGUACUUCAUCAUUGCCUACGGCAUCACCCUGCUGACAAUCGGCUUCCCUCUGAUGGUGGUCGACAUAUCCAUUGGACAGUUUCUGAGUCUGGGGCCCACAAAUGCCUAUGCUUCAAUGGCGCCUUUAUUC